GACGAACGCUGGCGGCGUGCUUAACACAUGCAAGUCGAACGAUGAAGAAGAGAAACGCGAACUUCGGUUCAAAUUUCACUUCGGAUUAGUGGCAGACGGGUGAGUAACGCGUGAGCAACCUACCUCUUACAAAGGGAUAGCCUCGGGAAACCGUGAUUAAUACCAUAUGACACCUUCAUAAGGCAUCUUAAGAAUGUUAAAGCUACGGCGGUAAGAGAUGGGCUCGCGUCCCAUUAGCUAGUUGGUGAGGUAACGGCCCACCAAGGCGACGAUGGGUAACCGGGAUGAGAGGGUGAACGGUCACAUUUGAACUGAGACACGGUCCGAAAUCCUACGGGAAGCAGCAGUGGGGAAUAUUGCACAAUGGAGGGAACGCUGAUGCAGCGACGACGCGUGAGCGAUGAAGGAAGUCGUUUCGUAAAGCUCUGUUCUAUGGGAAGAAAAGGACUGUACCAUAGGAGAAAGCCCCGGCUAAAUACGUG
rnacentral:rRNA from 1 species